AUACUUACCUGGCAGGGGAGAUACCAUGAUCACGAAGGUGGUUUUCCCAGGGCGAGGCUUAUCCAUUGCACUCCGGAUGUGCUGACCCCUGCGAUUUCCCCAAAUGCGGGAAACUCGACUGCAUAAUUUGUGGUAGUGGGGGACUGCAUUCGCGCUCUCCCCUG
ensembl:snRNA U1 U1 spliceosomal RNA